rnacentral:snoRNA from 1 species
AAACGAGGUCCAGAGUCACCAUUUCGGAUUGAUUUUCUGAUUUGGUGCUAGGAUUUCUCGAAAAUAAAAUUUGGUCGUAUUAUGCAAGUAGGGCUUGCUAUGCGCUCCCCUCCUUCACCUCAUUCCCAUACAAU